rnacentral:rRNA from 1 species
UGCGUAGGCGGCGCGAUAAGUCAGAGGUGAAAUCCUACAGCUUAACUGUAGAACUGCCUUUGAAACUGUUGUGCUCGAAUAGAGUUGAGGUUAGCGGAAUGUGACAUGUAGCGGUGAAAUGCAUAGAUAUGUCAUAGAACACCAACUGCGAAGGCAGCUAACUGGGCUUUUAUUGACGCUGAGGCACGAAAGCGUGGGGAGCGAACAGGAUUAGAUACCCUGGUAGUCC